rnacentral:ncRNA from 2 species
AAUUCCAUAAAACGAUCAAGUGCAUCCGCACUGGCCGCACAGUGCUGGUGAAAAGGGAAUCAGGUGCAAGUCCUGAGCGAUGCGGUCACUGUAAAUGGAGAGCAAUGCCAAAGUGCCAUUGCAUGAAAGUGUGAGAAGGCGGCUGAGCGAUGAACCAUAAGCCAGGAAACCUGCUUGAGAGCAGUAGGGUGA